UACGAAGGGGGCUAGCGUUGCUCGGAAUGACUGGGCGUAAAGGGCGCGUAGGCGGAUUGCUUUGUCAGACGUGAAAUUCCAGGGCUCAACCUUGGGGCUGCGUUUGAGACGGGUGAUCUUGACUUCGGAAGAGGGUCGUGGAAUUCCCAGUGUAGAGGUGAAAUUCGUAGAUAUUGGGAAGAACACCGGUGGCGAAGGCGGCGACCUGGUCCGAGACUGACGCUGAGGCGCGAAAGCGUGGGGAGCAAACAGG
rnacentral:rRNA from 1 species